GAUGAACGCUGGCGGCGUGCCUAAUACAUGCAAGUCGAGCGAACAGAUAAGGAGCUUGCUCCUUUGACGUUAGCGGCGGACGGGUGAGUAACACGUGGGUAACCUACCUAUAAGACUGGGAUAACUCCGGGAAACCGGGGCUAAUGCCGGAUAACAUUUAGAACCGCAUGGUUCUAAAGUGAAAGAUGGUUUUGCUAUCACUUAUAGAUGGACCCGCGCCGUAUUAGCUAGUUGGUAAGGUAACGGCUUACCAAGGCAACGAUACGUAGCCGACCUGAGAGGGUGAUCGGCCACACUGGAACUGAGACACGGUCCAGACUCCUACGGGAGGCAGCAGUAGGGAAUCUUCCGCAAUGGGCGAAAGCCUGACGGAGCAACGCCGCGUGAGUGAUGAAGGUCUUCGGAUCGUAAAACUCUGUUAUUAGGGAAGAACAAAUGUGUAAGUAACUGUGCACGUCUUGACGGUACCUAAUCAGAAAGCCACGGCUAACUACGUG
rnacentral:rRNA from 1 species